UUGAUGCGGAGGAAAUUGGUACCCUGCAGCGAAUUGAGCUGCAUCACUGUAACAGAACUACCGAGAUAUUAGCUAGAGAAAUUCAAGAACAGGUUGAAGGCAUCGAAGUUGUUAUUAGAAGUGAGCGGUAAGUGAAAAUUCUCGUCUAAUUUCCGAUGAACAUCGGUGCAAAAUCGAUGCAAUUUCAUUUGAGUAGCGUUGUGUUGUCUUUCCCUGCACCUGUUGUUGUUGAUUGAUAUAUUGUUAUACGUCUUCGAUUGGUUUAUGAAGCUACUUAUUUCCUUCUGAUGUCUGUGACAGGAAUCCAGACCGUGCAUAAGAAGAAAAUUCAGUUCCUCUUUUGAGGUGGACUUCCCACUCCAUCUCAACUUCUCUGCUGCUCUUUUCUCCUCUAC
rnacentral:lncRNA from 1 species